CAAGGACCGGCUCUCAAACUUUAGCCGACCGCUCAGCUUUGCUUCCACUGAAGAAUAAAUCAAACUUAUCGAAUAUUUGUCAUACACAAAUCUAUCAGAGGAAGAAGAUAAAAGAUUAUGAAAAUGGAGUAAAACAGCAAAGUACUCGAUCAAAAAUUAUUACUUAUUCCUGAUUGAUGGAGGAGUUCACCAGGCAAUUGGACAGACACUAUGAUCACUGUCACUUCCUGAGAAAGUUGAGGUUUUUGGCUGGCUGACCUUCCACGAUAAAAUUUUGACAGCUG
rnacentral:lncRNA from 1 species